UACGAAGGGUGCAAGCGUUAAUCGGAAUUACUGGGCGUAAAGGGUGCGUAGGCGGUUUGUUAAGUCUGUUGUGAAAUCCCCGGGCUCAACCUGGGAAUGGCAAUGGAUACUGGCAAGCUAGAGUGUGUCAGAGGAUGGUGGAAUUUCCGGUGUAGCGGUGAAAUGCGUAGAGAUCGGAAGGAACAUCAGUGGCGAAGGCGGCCAUCUGGGCAUUAACUGACGCUGAGGAGCGAAAGCAUGGGGAGCGAACAGG
rnacentral:rRNA from 1 species